rnacentral:rRNA from 1 species
UACGGAAGGCAGCAGGGGGAAUAUUGCACAAUGGGCGAAAGCCUGAUGCAGCUAUGCCGCGUGUAUGAAGAAGGCCUUAGGGUUGUAAAGCUCUUUUAGUGAGAAAGAUAAUGACGGUACUCACAGAAGAAGUCCUGGCUAACUCCGUGCCAGCAGCCGCGGUAAUACGGAGAGGGCUAGCGUUAUUCGGAAUUAUUGGGCGUAAAGAGCGCGUAGGCUGAUUAGUAAGUUAAAAGUGAAAUCCCAAAGCUUAACUUUGGAAUUGCUUUUUAAAACUGCUAGUCUAGAGAUUGAAAGAGGAUAGAGGAAUUCCUAGUGUAGAGGUGAAAUUCGUAAAUAUUAGGAGGAACACCAGUGGCGAAGGCGUCUAUCUGGUUCAAAUCUGACGCUGAGGCGCGAAGGCGUGGGGAGCAAACAGGGAUUAGAUACC